CAGGCGCGGAGUACCAAACUCUGAUUUACGACGUUUCUUCUGAGUGGUACAAGCAAAUAAUCAAAACUUUUAACAACGGAUCUCUUGGUUCUGGCAUCGAUGAAGAACGCAGCGAAAUGCGAUAAGUAAUGUGAAUUGCAGAAUUCAGUGAAUCAUCGAAUCUUUGAACGCACAUUGCGCCCGCCAGCAUUCUGGCGGGCAUGCCUGUUCGAGCGUCAUUUCAACCCUCAAGCUCUGCUUGGUGUUGGGGCCCUACAGCUGAUGUAGGCCCUCAAAGGUAGUGGCGGACCCUCCCGGAGCCUCCUUUGCGUAGUAACUUUACGUCUCGCACUGGGAUCCGGAGGGACUCUUGCCGUAAAACCCCCAAUUUUCCAAAGGUUGACCUCGGAUCAGGUAGGAAUACCCGCUGAACUUAAGCAUUUAAAAGGGGGGAGAGAGAA
rnacentral:rRNA from 1 species